CCUACGGGGGGCUGCAGUCGAGAAUCUUCGGCAAUGGGCGCAAGCCUGACCGAGCGAUGCCGCGUGCGGGAUGAAGGCCUUCGGGUUGUAAACCGCUGUCAGAGGGGAUGAAAUACGUCGGGGGUUCUCCCCCGGGUUUGACAUAUCCUCAGAGGAAGGACGGGCUAAGUUCGUGCCAGCAGCCGCGGUAAGACGAACCGUCCAAACGUUAUUCGGAAUUACUGGGCUUAAAGGGGGCGAGUGGGGUCUGAAAUACCUCGGCUCAACCGAGGAAUAGCGCUCAAAACUACCCGACUUGAGGAAGAUAGAGGUGAGCGGAACUUAAGGUGGAGCGGUGAAAUGCGUUGAUAUCUUAAGGAACACCUGUGGCGAAAGCGGCUCACUGGAUCUUUUCUGACGCUGAGGCACGAAAGCUAGGGGAGCAAACGGGAUUAGAUACCCGUGUAGUC
rnacentral:rRNA from 1 species